rnacentral:rRNA from 1 species
CCCGGGCCUUGUACACACCGCCCGUCACACCACGAAAGUUGGUAACACCCGAAGCCAGUGGCCCAACCAUUGGAGGGAGCUGUCGAAGGUGGGACCAGCGAUUGGGUG